rnacentral:rRNA from 1 species
GAUGAACGCUGGCGGCGUGCCUAAUACAUGCAAGUCGAGCGAACGGACGAGAAGCUUGCUUCUCUGAUGUUAGCGGCGGACGGGUGAGUAACACGUGGAUAACCUACCUAUAAGACUGGGAUAACUUCGGGAAACCGGAGCUAAUACCGGAUAAUAUGUUGAACGGCAUGGUUCAAAAGUGAAAGCCGGUCUUGCUGACACUAAUAGAUGGUUCCGCGCUGCAUUAGUUAGUUGGUAAGGUAACGGCUUACCAAGGCAACGAUGCAUAGCCGACCUGAGAGGGUGAUCAGCCACACUGGAACUGAGACACGGUCCAGACUCCUACGGGAGGCAGCAGUAGGGAAUCUUCCACAAUGGGCGAAAGCCUGACGGAGCAACGCCGCGUGAGUGAAGAAGGUCUUCGGAUCGUAAAACUCUGUUAUUAGGGAAGAACAUAUGUAUGAGUAUCUGUGCACAUCUUGACGUUACCUAAUCAGAAAGCCCCGGCUAACUACGUG